rnacentral:lncRNA from 1 species
GACAUAAAGAACGUCGAAAACGGAGUUCGUAUGAAGAAGAUAUGAAUUUCCGAAGUUUAUUAAAUAUUUUAUAUUUAAAUUAAAUCUUUAAAUCCGGCAUUAUCCGAAGAAGAGUCAGCAAUCCAAUCCGAAGUACGCCCCGCGUACACCGAAGGUGUCGACACUCGCAGCAAGUGGCUCAGAUGACGCAUGCAGUGACGAUUUCGGAAGCAGUACGCCCCACGUACUCCGAAGCUCCAGCCUCCUAUAAAUAGGAUCCGAAGGCAGCCGAGUCUUUUGUUCAUUUUCUCUCUUCUCUCUCCCGUUUUGCAUCGAUUUGCGUGCCAGAAAUAUCCCGAAGCCCCGGUAUUAUUCUCGAUCCCCGAGGCAAGUCCCGAGAUCCCGAAGAUCCCGAGAAGUGCGGUUCCCGAGCCGAAGCUCUGCCCGCGAGAAGUUCGAUUUUUGAGAAGAUCUUCCAGAUCUGCUGAGAUUUACUACUUCUGCAAGUCGUAGUGCUGUCCGAUCAUCUUCUGAUCAAGUGAGUGUAUACUACCUUUCAUAAACACGAUAAUAAUACAAGUAUGGUUCGAGUGUAUUAAGUAUAUUGUUGUUUAUAAGUGUGAGUGUGUAGUUACCUUCUUCCAAAUACAAUAAUAUGAAGUAUUUUAAAUAAAAUACGUGCUAUGUGUAUAUAUUUGGUUGUGUUAUGUGUGAAUGUGUAUUCACUCUCUUCUAUCUCAUAGAUAUGAUUUAUUCUCUAUGAGAUAUGUGCUAUGUGUGUGUGUGCCUCAUCUGUUAUGUGGAUUAUGUGUUGAUUAAAGCAUGCUAUACAGGUUUUCAAAACUAUGUAUAAAAAUGUAUAUUUUAUCUACUAAUAUGUUGGGUAGAACAUGGGUAGAUAGUUGGUGUGUAAUAAACAGAUGAGAGGCCUCGUUGUUGUUUGAUUUAGUCAUCUAGCGGAGUUUAGAUGACGACCACGGGCUAUUCUAGACAGUCUUGUGGAAACAUUAGCAGGUUCGCCACCUGUAGGUGUUAAUGAACUUGGGUGUUCAUUCGCUGUACUCCAUCCCCCUCAUGGUUGCCUUAUUUGACUUAUAUUGCUGAGGUACCCCCGAAGCAUGUGUUGUCGCCCCGAUGAAAUAUUCUUAGACUAGGUCCCUUAUGUUAGUUGUUUUAGGGACAUUAAAGUGAGAAUAACGGGAAUGGGUAAUUGGGUUAUUGUUGGUUGGUGAAAAUUAAAUAUGAUAUUUAUUGUGGGUUGAAAACCCUAUAUGCUCACCAGGCUCCCAAGCCUGACCCACUCAGUUUUAAAUUGUAUUACAGGUAGUGGCGGAAGGGCAUGAGAUGGAUGAACCAUCAAGUUGUUUUGUUUACAAGUCUGCAUAUGUUUAUAUUUGUUAUAUGACUUGUAAUGUAUUCGUUUAUGCUUAUUGGUCUGUAUCGGAACAUGACACCCCGAGUUUUGAUUAUAAUGAAAAUACAUUUCUUUUAUGAAAUGCUUCGGUAAACAAUGUUUUAUCAUGUUUUGUUUUUGGGAACAAAUUCCGCAACUCUUUCAAAUCAAAAGGAUUUACUCUGAAAAUAUUUAAAAGCAUAAAUGAAAAUCGGUCUUUUCUGGCCGAGAUUUUGGGGAUGUCACAGUUGGUAUCAGAGCAUUAGUUUAAGCGAACUAGGAAUUUGUAGGAUUUCUAGACUUAAACUUAGAAUGCUAAGUGAAAUUUUGAGAUGUGUGUCUGUUAUGUUUUAGACACGAGCACUAGUUUAUUUUAGGAAAGUUGCCUAAAAUGCUUUAUGUGCUAAAUGUUAUAUGUUGCCAUAUAUGAUAUUAUUUGUUCGGAUCUAUGGUCUGUUGCCGACCGGAUCUAGAAACCUUAUGUGUGUAGGAUUCUAAGCGUACGUCUACGAUAUUAGAACUAGCAUGUAAACGUUUCGGAGUGAUAAGAAUGAUUUGAAUAUCUAUCAUGAUUGAGGAUCUAAUUUCACCUUAUUCGGUGUAGAUCAAAAUGGUGAGAACAAGAAGUGGAGUUGGAAAUGCUGACGAAAACAGGAAUCAACCACCAGUGAUUGAGCCAAUACCUGUCGUAGCAGCAGCACCUGAGCCAAUAACCAUGGCUGGUGUGCAAUUGAUGAUUCAGACGAUGUUGGAUCGUCAGAUGGAUGAAACUAGACGGUUGNAAUCGUGAAGAACUGUCAAUUCGUGUGGAAGAGCCCGAAUUAAAUGAAGGGCACUCGGAAGGUGGAAACUUCAGUGGGUCUGUUGGUCAAGCCAACCCACCGAUAGUUAGGCAAAACAACCAUGAUGGAAGGAAUGAUGGAAUGGGAUGCAAGUACAAGGACUUUCUAACUUGCAAACCAUCGACCUUCAACGAAAAGGAGGAUCCGAUUGGAGUUAUGGAUUGGAUCUCCGAAAUGGAGUUAGCCUUCAUGACUUGUGGCUGCAGAGGCAAGUUGCAGACUAUCUAUGCAGUGCGUCAGUUCCGAGGUGGAGCCGUUAGUUGGUGGAACACUCUAGGGAAGACGUUAAGCCCUAACGAGCCAUUGCAAUUGUCAUGCGCAAAGUUCUUGGUGCAGUUCAAGUGCAAGUUCUGCUUGGCUGAAAAUCUGUUGGAGUUGGAGAAUAAGUUCCUGACAUUGACGAAAGGCAGCAUAUCAGUUGAUGAAUACACCAAUAGCUUCACCAAUAAGAUGGAGUUUGCUUUGCGCAUCGUUCCAGACGAGCUGACAAAGGUGGACCGGUAUGCGAAGGGACUCCCAUGGGAGUACGAGGUGCCAGUACGUCAGGCACUUACUCUAGAGGCAGUUAUCUGGGCUGCCAAGUCUGUUGAGAACAUGAUAAAGGGAAGAACCACUGACAAGGUUGAGGUUGGUGAAAAAAGAAAGUUUGAGGGAACACCUGGUUCCGGUAAGAAGGGCAAAUUUUCGAAAUCUGAUUCGAAAAAGUUUGGAGGAAAAGGAGGCGAAGCGAAGUGGUGUGAUAAGUGUAAGAAAAAGCACUUUGGGAAAUGUAGCGAGGAUGUGACGUGCUACAGGUGUGGAAAGGUUGGACAUUUUGCCAAUGAAUGUCCGAACAACAAAAGGGUGUGUUUUGGUUGUAAUGAAGAGGGACAUAUUUUGAAAGACUGUCCGAAGAAGAAGGAGGCAGCUAGGCCCAACAUUCCACCAAAGCCGAAGGCGAGAGCCUUCCAGAUGACACUUGAGGCUGCGAAAGAUGAAGCUGAUGUCGCUUCAGGUACCUUUUUUGUAAACGAAUUACCUGCUCAAAUUUUGUUUGAUUCUGGAGCCAACUACUCCUUUAUUUCGCAUGAGUUUGGUAGAAAGCUAGCUUUGCCUGUUGAUAGACUAGAUAAUGCUUUGUUAGUCGAAGUAGCUAGUGGCAAGUUUGUACCUGUUAGCCAUCAUAUGAAAGACAUCUUAAUUGAUCUUAAUUGUUAGUCGAAGUAGCUAGUGCAAUUAACUUUGUUUUGUCAGUCAAUAGUUUUAAUUUUAUUUUUCAUAUAGCCUGGUAACCUAUGGAAUGACAACAAUGUCUUUGAGAAAAAGAUGUUGGUUUCAAUCAUUCUAUGUGGAUAUAGUGUUUCUGAAGAAUUAUAUGAAUGACAUGGUAUUCUAAAAAUGUGUAUAUGGUUAGUUAAUUAUCUUUCCAACAUCCUACUAUUUUAGUUUAAUGAUUGUUUGUUGAUGUUUUGUGUUCUUUGCAUCAACGACCUUGACAACUCCUUUCCUAUCAUUUGACAUUGCUUUAACAUGCCAUUAUGAUUUAAUUUCAUGUAGUAGAAGAGUACAAUGUUCUUGAAAUUGUUUAAAUUGAAGUCUCAUAUAAUGAUGGAAAAUUCAUUAUUUUUUGUGUUUGUUUUCAGUGACGAAAAAGGAUAGAGGAUACAACUGCUAUAUCUGAUGUUUGGGACAAUACCUCUACAAUAGGAUCAAGGAUGCUAUUUCUGUAACUUUUAUGCAAGUGUUACGUAGUGAAAAUUUCCAAAAUAAUGAUUUUUUUAUCAUGGAUAUUUUAUUUCUUUGAUAUUAUUUUUUAUCUAUGUUUAUUAUGGUUAGUUAUCUAGCAUGUGCAAACUUACAACAAUUCUUAUUCAUGUGUACAUUGCUUGUGUUUUUUGUUAAUUCAACAAAUGUAGGAUUAAAGCAGCUGUAAUAGUAUUGUUACUGAGUUUAUGAGAUUAAGAAAAAAGUAUUAAUGAAAUUAAAAACAGUAAAAAGACCUCUUGCAUAUUACAAACACGGUUAUAUAAUCAAAUAAGAUUGGACUUGCAUAAUAGAACUUGGUUCCUUACUAAAGAACCAGGCUAAAUAAUGAUAAAAAACCGUUCUUUGAAAACUGAUAGGUCCCGGUUUUGUGCGGUAGAACUGCAACCUAAUCUCCUUGUAUGGUCUAUCAUAAUGUCCUUAUAUGUCCCAGUUUUUAUAGGCAACCGAGUUCUUUUAUGGCUGAUGGGACCCAGUUUUUAAACCAGGUUUUAUUAGUUUUCCAACAUAGGAAUCGCCGGUCUUAAGACCCGGUUCAAAACCAGGUCUUUUAAUAGAAUUAACCGGGUCAUAUAAGCUUUUUUGUAGUAGUGAAAAUUUUAGUUUGAAAAUUUACGUCGUUACAAGUUGGUAUCAGAGCCUUGGUUUGAAGGAUUUGGAUGAACCUGUGGGUGUGUUCGGACUCAAACUGAGGAUUUUAGAAAAAAAUUCAAAAAGAAAUAAUUUUUCUGAAAAAUGAGAAAGAGUUUAAGAGAAAACGAGUUGGAGCGGUGUGUACAAUCAGCCAGAGCCCGAUCAGUGAUUUCCUAAAACACCCUUAGUUUUGUGUUAUGAGAUGUCUACGAGAUAUUAUGCAUGCUAGAGAGAAGGCUAGGUCUUACAUAUUUUAGGACUAGAGUGGCCUGAUUUGUGAUGCCUUAGCCUAGGAGUUGCUGCUAUAUGUGAUUUGCUUUGAGUAUGAGCUGAGUAUGAGGGGUUGUUUGUUUUUUAUGUGAAGAUCUGCGCAAUCACUUUUGUAUGCGCCGCGCAGACAACGCGCAUACAUAUGUUCUUUGCAGAGUGUUUGUUUUUUGGAAGUGCGCAGAUCAAAAAACGUCUGCGCGAGGUCUUCCUGGCGUAGACAUAGGCCACUGUCUUCAAAGGUCUUUAGACCUCAUUUUAACCUAAACCAAAAAAAAAAUAACAUGGGCCACCGUGCAGUUUUUUUUUUUUUUUUUUUUUUUAUUUUUUUGCUGAAAAUGCAUUUUUUAAUGUUUAUGACAUGAAAUUAAGUUUGAAAAUUCAAUUUAUUUCAACAGCCGCAGACGUUAAAAACAAACAGUCUUCUUAUUGAAGACUGCAGACAUUUGGUCCACCUCUUCUGCCGCAGAGGCUUGCAGAUGUGGUCUGCAGACUGCAGACAUUUUAACUUCAAAAAAACAAACAGCACCUGAGUAUUUAGCAAAGGUCGCCUCGAGAGGGUACUUGAGUUGAGAGAAAAUCUAGGAGAGACACCUAGAUGAGCUUGUGAGAAGUCUACUGAGAGAGUAGUCUGCGCUUUGUGAGAUAUAAAGUACUUAUGAAUCGGGAUCCUAGGAGGAGGACUUGGGGUGAAUAUAGAUGUGGUGUGGAAGGUAGUAUUGGGCCCGUACUACUAAAAGCAUAUGAUCUGUAAGCAGUCCAAGUAAGAAUCCUUAGGAUGCUAAGGAACAAGUAGGGUCGAGUGAUCGAGUGUGAGUAUACUCGAUCGAGUCUCUAAUUAUUUUGUGUUGUGUUUCAAAGACAUCAUGGUGGGUACGCGCCACAACCCCGAGAGCAAUGGAGUUAGCGAUGAUGAGAUUCACAGGAUGAUUCAUGACGAGGUGGCCGCAGCCAUCCAAGAGGCUAUCUUGGAGAUGUUUGGGUCUAUUAAGACCACCUUGAUCGUGACGUUUGAUGAGCGAUAUGUUGCUGUUACCGAGGCGGAUGUUGUUGCAGCCACCGCAACUAUCGCUGCUACCAGGCCACAGGGGGUGACUCGUUGCUAUACCGGGAGUUCAGCAACACGAAGCCACCAACGUUUGAUGGGACUCACGAUCCGAUUGCUGUGAUGAGGUGGAUCUCCGGUAUCGAGGGAUGUUUCUACACUUGUUCAUGUCCGAAGCACUUGAGGGUGCGGUUCAUAUUGAACCAGUUUCGCUUGAGAGCAAAGGACUGGUGGAAGUUUGUAACAACCAGUUACACUCCUACAGAGCACAUUAUAGUGCCAUGGGAGAGAUUUACUGCGAUGUUUCGAGAUAAGUAUGUUCCCCAGUGGAGAGGGAACGGUUGGCCCAAGAGUUUUUUUCCCUCAAGCAGAGGACAGAGUCAUUGACAGUUGAUUACGAGGAUGUUUCAUGAUAGGGCGUUGUUCUUCCCUGAGCACGUGUCUACUAAGCAGGCACGUAUGAGUCGAUAUUUGGUCAUUCUGAGGAUGGAUAUUCGCGAGUUUAUGGCGAACUCGUCUUAUCGAUCAUUUGUUGAGCUUCAGGAAAAUGACUGAAAGAGGGAGAUUGAGCUGGAGACUCAGGCUAGGGAGGAGGCCGAGUCUCAAAGGAGGGAUCGGGUACCGGCACAGUCUCAGUCGGCAACCAAGCAGACUAUGCCCAUUGCUUCGAGAUCUGGAGGCUAGAAGGGUCGUACUUGUGGGAAGUGCGGUAAGAGUCAUGAGGGGACGUGUUGAGCGGGUGUUUGCUAUAAGUGUGGCAAAGAGGGGCAUAUCGCGAGGGAUUGCCCCAAGGGGUUUGCAUUCUGCUUUCACUGCAACCAGACCAGGCAUUGGAAGGCCGAGUACCCCCAGCUGCUACAGGGAUCAGUGCAGGGAUCUGCACCUGCUGCCAUACGAGCUACCGAGAGUCGGCCCGUGAAGGCCGAGGUACAGAGGGUUCGUGGGAGAGCCUUCCAGCUGACAGUGGAGGAGGUCCACACAGCACUUGAUGUUGUGGCUGGUAUGUGUUCUUUUACUUAUUCUAUUUUGAGUUAUAUUGAGCUUAUAUUGUGNAUAUAUAUAUAUAUAUAUAUAUAUGUGUGUGUGUGUGUGUGUGUGUACUUUUCUUGUGAGUUAUGUACCUGCUUUGGUGUUAUUCGACUCGGGUGCGAGUCGAUCUUUUGUAUCCUUAGCUUUUUGUCGUCACAUCAGUAUCUGACGUGAGACAUUGAGUCGACCUUUGAGGGUCUCUAUAGCUGACGAGCAUGCUGUUUUUGCUACUGAUGUGUGCUGGAGAUUUUUGGUGCCGAGUAUCCAAUUGAUCUGGUACUGAUUGCGAUGGGUCAUGUAUGUGUCAUCGUGGGCAUGGAUUGGUUGAGCCGUUUUGGUGCAGUGAUCGACUAUGAGCGUCAGUUGGUGACUAUACGAGACCCCAGUGGGGAAGUGCUUACAGUGUAUGGCGAGGGUACCAGAUAUGGGUUAGCUUUCUACUCUGCUGCCAGGGUGAGGCAGAGUUUACAGUAGGGUUGUAUGGGUUUUCUAGCAUAUGUUAUGGAUACAUGGGUUGCUGCUGGGAAACCGAGUUCUAUCGCCGAGGCUCCAAUAGUAAGUGAGUUCCCGGAUGUUUUUCCCGAGGAGUUACCAGGUGUGCCUCCCGAGAGGCAAGUGGAGUUUCGGAUUGAUUUGGUUCCGUGAGCGGCACCUUAUCGCCUUGCGUCGCCAGAGAUGCAGGAGUUAUCCUUAUAGCUCCAGGAUCUGCUGGGGAAGGGAUUUAUCAGACCGAGUAGCUCGUCGUGGGGAGCGUCGAUCCUUUUUGUCAAGAAAAAGGAUGGUUCACUUCGGAUGUACAUUAACUACCGGGAGUUGAACAAGCUGACGGUCAAAAUCGUUAUCCACUUUCGAGGAUCGAUGAUUUGUUCGAUCAGUUGCAGGGCGCAUCUUGGUUCUCCAAGAUCGAUUUGAGGUAUGGAUAUCAUCAGAUGAGAGUCAGCGAGGAGGAUAUUUAGAAGACGGCCUUCAGGACUCGUUAUGGGCACUACGAGUUCGUGGUGAUGCCUUUUGGGCUCACCAACGGAUCGGCGGCAUUCAUGGAUCUCAUGAACCUGGUGUGCAGGACUAUGUUGGAUCGAUCGGUGAUCGUGUUCAUCGAUGAUAUCUUGGUGUAUUCAAGAUCCGAAGAGCAGCACAAAGAGCAUCUGAGAGAGAUUCUUGGGGUUUUGAGAUCGGAGAGGCUGUAUGCCAAAUUCUCCAAGUGUGAAUUCUGGUUACGAUACGCCCAGUUCCUAGGACAUCUCGUUAAUCAGAAUGGGUUAUUGGUCGACCCAGCCAAGAUUGAGGUAGUUAUGCAGUGGGAGGUGCCAAGAUCCCCAUCCGAGAUCAGAAUUUUUCUGGGAUUGAUCGGAUAUUAUCGGAGAUUUAUCAGAGAUUUCUCCAAGAUUGCCUUCCCCCUCACCAGGUUGACCCGAAAGGGUGUUACUUUUACUUGGGGUCCUGAGCAGCAGGCCUCAUUUGACACUCUUCGCCAGAGAUUGUGUGAAGCCCUGGUGUAAGCCCUUCCCGAGGGAGUGGAGGACUUUGUAGCUUACUACGAUGCAUCCAUAUCCAGGAUGGUGCAGUACUGAUGUAGAGAGGGCAGGUGAUAGCAUACGCAUCAAGGCAGUUAAAGCCUCAUGAGACGAGAUAUCCCACCCACGAUCUAGAGCUGGGGGCGGUGGUGUUCUCCUUCAAGAUCUGGUGCCACUAUUUGUACGGGGUUCGGUGUACCAUAUACACGGACCACAAGAGCUUGAAGUAUCUCAUGGAUCAGCCCAACCUAAACAUGAGACAGAGGAGAUGGUUGGAUGUGGUGAAAAAUUAUGAUUGUGAAAUCCUGUAUCAUCCGGGCAAGGCUAAUGUGGUAGCCGACACCCUGAUCCACAGAGCAGAGAGUGCUCCGACCCGAGAUGUGUGUAUGAGGAUGAAGGUGAUGACUCCAGUCUUAGAUACCAUUCCAGAGGCUCAGAUGGAGGCCAUGAGGCCGGAGAACCGUAAGAGGGAGUGGGUGAUUGGACAGGUGUCCGAGUUUGUGAUGGAUAGCCGAGGGCUUAUGACUUUCCGAGGGCGGAUUUGGGUGCCCUUUACGGGCGGAGCUCAACGUAUACUGAUGGAGGAGGCGCAUAGAUCGAGAUUCUCGAUCCAUCCCGGGGCCAUUAAGAUGUAUUUAGACCUGAAGAGAGAGUUCGGGUGGCCCUGUAUGAAGAGGGAUUUCACUUGGGUGGUUGAGAGAUGCUUGACCUACCGCCGGGUUAAGGCAGAGCACCAGGGUUCAUUACAGCCUCUGGAGAUUCCCCAGUGUAAGUGGGAACAGAUCUCUAUGGACUUUAUCACCAAGUUACUGAGGACUACGUGUGGAGUUGACAUGAUUUGGGUGAUUGUGGACCGACUGACAAAUAGUGCUCACUUCCUUGCUAUCAGUAAGGGCUCUUCUGCGAAGAGACUGGCCGAGAUCUAUGUGAGAGAGGUGGUAACGCGGCAUGGAGUGCCAACCUUGAUAGUGUUGGAUCGAGACGUAUGUUUUACUUCCAGGUUUUGGAAGAAAAUUCAUGAGUAGUUGGGCACGCGUUUGCAUUUCAGUACUACAUACCACCCGCAAACGGACGGGCAGAACGAGCGGACGAUUCGGACACUGGAGGACAUGUUGCGUGCAUGUGUUAUGGACUUUGGAGGAAGUUGGGACACUUACUUACCCCUGGCUGAGUUUUCUUACAACAACAACUACCAUUCGAGUAUUGGUAUGCCUCUCUUUGAGCUUUUAUAUGGGAGAAGGUGUCGGACUCCUAUUUGUUGGGGAUAGGUGGGACAAGGAGUGAUGGGUGGCACUGAGAUAGUGAUAAAGACGAUUGAACAGAUUCAAUAGGUCAAACAGAGAUUACUGACGGCCUAGAGUCGCCAGAAGAGUUAUGCUGACAGGCGACGAUCCGAGCUAGAAUUCCAGGUCUGGGAUUUUGUCCUCCUGAAGGUAUCCCAUGGAAAGGGGUGAUCCGCUUCAGGAAACGGGGCAAGCUGGGGUCCCAAUAUACCGGUCCUUUUAGAAUGACCACCAGAGUAGGAAAAGUAGCCUGCCGGUUGGAGCUACCGGUAGAGUUGAGUCAGAUUCAUAACACCUUCCACUUAUCUCAGUUGAGGAAGUGUGUAGCCGAUGAGAUGGCAGUGGUAUCCCUAGAGGACAUUCAUGUGGAUGUGAGCCUAAAUUAUAUUGAGAGAUCGAUCGUGAUUUUGGAUCGAAAGGUGAAGGUUCUGUUGAACAAGGAGGUGCCCCUGGUUUAGGUCCAGUGGCAAGAUCAGAGAGGAUCCGAGUCGACUUGGGAGCCGGAGCUGGAGAUGCAGGAACAACAUCCAGAGUUAUUUGUGAAGCAUGACUUCAAGGGAGAAGUCUGAUUCUAGUGGGGGAGAAUUAUAACAUCCCAAGUCCAGGUAUACCCUGUAAACCUUGAUCUUUUGAGCACUUGCCCAUUUUGGCCCUUAUUAGAGAAAAAGUGGUAAAUGAGUAUGCGGGGCGUACUAGAGUGUACGCUCGGCUUACUUAUGCGUGCACAUGAAGCGGAGACCACCUAGUACGUUGGGCGUACCAGAGGGUACACUGGGCGUACUAGGCCCAAAAUGAAAACCCUAAUUGUUGGUAACUUCCCUAUAUAAAGGAUAUGAUGGCCUCAUUCCUGGCCACCAUUCCCAAACACCAAACCCUCCUAACCCUAAAUCAUCGUUCUUAUAGCUUGUGAGUGCAUUUGGGAGCUUGUGAGUGUAUUCUUGUGUUCUUGAAGUGGAGAAGAAGCCUUGGAGAAGAAGGAGUGAGAGUCUAGACUUUUGGAUCUGAGCUUAGCUGUGUGGAAAGCUUCACAUAGAGGUAUAAAGCUUCAAGCUUUCUCACUCUUUUGAUUUGUGCAUUUAUAUGGAGUAUUUUAGGGUUUUGUCCCCAAAGAUGGAGACUUUAUGAGAUAAUGAGCUCCAGAGACCAUGAUCAACCCCCUUUAGUGUAUUUUGUGGAGUAAUGUCAUAAAAAUCCAAUCUUGUACGUUAUAAACAAGCCAUUCAUGAAAUAUGAGCUUUAUCAGGAAAGGGGAUGGGUUUUUUGAGUGUUUGUGACCUAAUCAGCCAUGCAAAGGCUUAAAGUCACUGACUUUAUGGAUUAAGAGAUAUUAAGGAGUCCAGAUCUGUGAUAUGAGCCAAGGUCUUAACUGAUUAACACCAAAUAUGUGAGGAGAGUUAAACUAGGACUUACGUUGGGCGUAAUCCGAGUACGUGCAGCGUAGAGGUCGAGCAUCCCCGAUAUCUGCAUGGCAGCUGAGAACGCUUUAUGUACUCCCUGUCGUUGACUUUUGGUUGACUUUUAGGAUUUGGUCAGCAUGUGGACUAUUAAGCCCAUGGAGGGGUAAAAUGGUCUUUUACCCUUCUAUGAGUGUAUGGAAGGGUUAGUCUAGCUUUAUUAGAGUACUUAUUAAUCAGGUAUAAUUAUUGUGUGUGUUAGGCGGAGUCUAGACUGGUGAUUCGAGUUCGAGGUUGUCCAAUUCCUACGAGGUUAGUCUUCUCACUAUCCUUACCAUGAGUGGUAUCUAUGAGUGACCAGAGGGUCUUAUGUCUUUACUUGAGUUAUGCAUCUUGUCUGCGUGAUAUAUAUGCAUAUAUAUAUANNNNNNNNNNNNNNNNNNNNNNNNNNNNNAUAUGUUAUAUUAUGUGUCACUGAGACCGGACCGGAGGGUCCAACAAGCAGUGACACCGGAGGGUCCACACUGAGACUGGACUGGAGGGUCCAACGAGCCGUGAGACCAGAGCGUCCUCAUUGAGACCGGACCGGAGGAUCCAACGAGCUAUAGCCAUGAGAGGCUUAUUAUUUAUGUAUGUGGUCUUUUGGGGAACUCACUAAGCUUCGUGCUUACCGUGUGAUUUGUUAUGCAUUUUAGGUACUUCUCAGGAUCACAGGAAGACAUCAACUUGAUUGUACACACAUAUCAGAGAUGGAGUUAUGAUUGAGAGGAUCCUGGCGUUUUGAUAUAAAUAGUUUUUGGUUAUGAGAUUUGAUGUCUUGACAUUGUGACAUUUUGAGAUUUUAUUACUGUGAUAAAUGUGUUUUUAAAUUAAAAAUUUUGGUUUGAAAAUUUACGUCGUUACAACAUCUCAAUGAGAAUACGAGCAUAAACCGCUCUACCUGUAGCUCACUCACACAUGGUACUAGUGUAAGAAUCAACCUCCAAAGGCUUUCCAAGUUUGCUUGCAAUGAGACUAAGACCAUCUUUAUUAAAAAGUUAGAGAGAGAUGCCAAAUAUAACAACCUAAACGGGAACCCGCUCAUGAAAUGGGUUUUCAAUAAAAACAUCCGCAUCCCAUUUGUGAAGGAAGAGCGGGAUACCGUUAAACUUCCAAAUGCCUUUUUGAAGAACAUCAUUCAUACCUUCAUCGUUUUCAAAUUAAAAAAAAAAACAUAUAAUCAUCAUUAAAAAAAAUGUCACAAAGUCCAUGUUCCUUCCAUAAAUCUUGAGUUCGACUUUUAACACCCAUUUAAAUGUUAUAAUUGAAUGAAAUUAAAGUACGAUACUAUACUACACAUUAACAUGAAAUUACAUUGUUAUUUUUUGUAUUUUACAAUUUUUUUUUAUAGUUGUGAUAUGUUUUUAAGUUUGUAUAAUUUGUUUUUAAUUUAUAUUGAACUUCUUUCAUUGAUAUCUAAGAUAUAAUUUCUUUAACAUUAGCCUUAUGUUUUUUUUUCUUAUUAGGAAUUGAGUGGGUUGUAGUUGUGGUUGUGGUGAUGGCGAUGGUGGUAUACAAUGNNNNNNNNNNNNNNNNNNNNNNNNNNNNNNNNNNNNNNNNNNNNNNNNNNNNNNNNNNNNNNNNNNNNNNNNNNNNNNNNNNNNNNNNNNNNNNNNNNNNNNNNNNNNNNNNNNNNNNNNNNNNNNNNNNNNNNNNNNNNNNNNNNNNNNNNNNNNNNNNNNNNNNNNNNNNNNNNNNNNNNNNNNNNNNNNNNNNNNNNNNNNNNNNNNNNNNNNNNNNNNNNNNNNNNNNNNNNNNNNNNNNNNNNNNNNNNNNNNNNNNNNNNNNNNNNNNNNNNNNNNNNNNNNNNNNNNNNNNNNNNNNNNNNNNNNNNNNNNNNNNNNNNNNNNNNNNNNNNNNNNNNNNNNNNNNNNNNNNNNNNNNNNNNNNNNNNNNNNNNNNNNNNNNNNNNNNNNNNNNNNNNNNNNNNNNNNNAAAAAAAAAUCAUUUUUUUUGUUUUUUUGCUAUUUUUGCUUCAUUUUUCUUAAUAAAGUAUCGUACGAAAUCUGUCCUAUUAUAAUAAUAUUUUAUCUGAGCUUUUUUUUUUUUUUUUUUAUUAAAGUUAAGUAGUUCGAGAUUUUUCCACCUCCUAAAACAUUCAACUUCAGCUAUUUUUAUUACCACAUUCUAUUUUAUAAAUUCAGUAAAUUUAAUACUCAAAUUGCCCUUCGUGCUCAAGCUUGUUUAUGCUUGCAUGAAUAUUUUCUUUGUUUAGUGUGACCCCGGUAAAAAAAGUUUUUUGGAUUAAAUGAAAAAACAAUUAAAAUGUGAUGAAUUUUUUGUAUUUUUCCUGUUAAUAUAUUAGUAUUUUGGGAUAAUGCCAUAAAAAGCCUUAAAUUUGGUAGAAAAUAUCAGUUUUACCCUUUGACAUAUUUUUGGUUCAUUUAUGUCGCAAAUUUUUCUUUUUUUGUCGAUUUUGCCCUUUUUACCUGUAAUACAAGGUUUCUAGGUUAUAAUGAAUUAUUUUUUUUGUGAAAAAACCCUUAAGUUUACAAAUUUUGAAAAAAAACCAUUAAGAUUAUAAACAUAUAAAAUAUAAAUAUAUAUUCAAAAUUUGAUAAAACUAAUAGUUUUUUAUAAUUUAAAUGUCAAAAGUUUAUAUCAAACUAAUAUUAAAUUUUACUAUACUUAUAUUAUAAAACCAAAACUGAAACAUAUUUUUAGUUUUACGUACGGUAAAUUUUAUCUUGGUUCAAUAUAAACUUUUUAUAUGUAAAUUUUAAAAAUGUUAUCUAGUUUUAUCAAAAUUUGAAUAUAUUUCUUAAUUAAUAUUUAACUUUUCAAAGCAAAAGUAAAAAAAUGUCUAAUAGUUAAUAAUUAAUUAUACUAAAAUAGUUAAACAUAUGAAUAAUAUGAUAUUAGUGCAUUCAAUUAAUUUUUUUAAAAAGAAAAUAAAAAUAUUUUAUAUGUUUAAAAGGUUUGUAUUUCAGAAAUAAUAAUGUAUCAUAUUGUUUAUAAAAAUAAAUAUAUUUAUAUAAUAAAUUAGAAAAAUAUAUUUAUAUUAUAUAUGUUUAAAAUGUUUAUGUUUAUUUUUUUAAAUGUUUAUGAUAUUUUAUAAAAAAAAUGGUAAUAUUAUUAUUUAUUUAAACAUAUAAAAAAUAUGAUACAUUAUUAUUUCCGAAAUACAAACCUUUUAAACAUAUAAAAUAUUUUUAUUUUCCUUUAAAAAAAAUUUAUUGAAUGUAGUUAAUGUCAUAUUAUUCAUAUGCUUAACUAUUUUAGCAUAAUUAAUUAUUAACCAAUAGACGCUUUUUAAUUUUGCUAUGAAAAGUUUAGUAUUAAUUAAGAAAUAUAUUCAAAUUUUGAUAAAACAAGGUAACUUUUUAAAAUUUAAAUAUAAAAAAGUUUAUAUCAAAGCAAUAUAAAAUUUACCGUACGUUAAAGCUAAUAAUAUGUUUCAGUUUUGGUUUCAUAAUAUAAGUUCGGUAAAAUUUAUAUUAGUUUGAUAUAAACUUUUGAUAUUUAAUUUUUAAAAAACUAUUUAGUUUUAUCAAAUUUUGAAUAUAUAUUUAUAUUUUAUAUGUUUAUAUUCUUAGGAGUUUUUUUGCAAAAUAUUUAUAAACUUAAAAAAAUUUUCACAAAAAAUAAUUCAUGUUAACCUAGAAAUCUCCUAUUACAGAUAAUAAGGGUAAUACUGAAAAAAAAAUGACAAGAUUAUGGCAUAAACAAACCAAAAUUUUUUUAAAAGGUAAAACCGACAUUUUCGGCCAAACUUAAGAGUUUUUAUGGCAUUAUCCUUAGUAUUUUUAAUAUGUUUAAACUAAAAGAAGAUAACAUAAAUAACUCACCGGCCGCUAAAACCAAUACUAUAUAACACUGGGCCAAAUCUGUGAUGAGAGUAUCCAUUCGAAUUCCAUUGGUGUUGCCAAAACUAAAACUAGCCCAAUGUAUGACCAAUACUGCUUUGAAUGAGUCGAUUAAAAAGGCUUAAAUACUGAAAAUUAAAGAAAAUCGUAGUCUAGAAAUAAAAUCGAGUAUUCUCUUGCAAUGAAAAUGAAAGUACAAACCGAAAAUAAUUAUAAAAAUAUUAUAUUACAUUCAUAUACAAUCUUGACAUUGAACACCACCUUAUUUAUUUUGGAUACUUUAAUUUUGAUUUAUCUUUCCUUGUUGAUUGCCACAUCUAUUUGUGAAGCCAUCCAGGGCUGAUGUACAAGUUCAAUAACUUAGAUAUGUAUGCAAAUGCAACCUAAAAGGAAAAAUAUUAAACAUUAACUAAAGGUAUUUUAAUUUUGUUAUAGGUGGGGACGUAACCAAAAAAGUUGGAAUAGAGGAAAUUUGGAAAGGAGAUGGUUAUUACAAAUUUGCAUGUUGGGUUGCGCUCCUAAAAAGGUUUUGAUUUUCAGACAAGAACUAGGGGUGUAUAUGGUCCGGGGUUGAGUCGGUUUUGAACUAAAACCGAAUCCAACCCGCUAAUUUCGGUUUUAAAUAAUUCAAAUCCAAACCCAAACAGAAACCAAUCAAUUCGGUUUUUUGGGUUCUCGGUUUUCAAUGGUCGGUUUGGGUUUAAAUCCAAACCCAACUACAACAUUACUUCUUGAUAGAGAAUCAGUGACAUCAUACAUACUUAUAAAACUAGUAUUUUUUCUUGAAUCUCAUGCAUUUGAAACCCCCAUUUUUUUUUUCCUUUCACCACAUUCAUUUGAAACUCCCAUGACUUUUCAAUUUUCUUUAUAAUAAUAAUUAUAAUUUGGUAAUUAGGUUAAAUAAAUAUCAAAUCUAAAGUGUAAUCAUAUAUAAACUAGAUUUCAAUAUUAAAAUAAUAUCUUUAAUUCUACUUAUAAAAUUAUGUUUUUUUAACUUUUAACAAAUUAUACUUAAUUUAUUAGUUUUAAUACAUUGUUGGAUGUAAACCAUUAUCAUUUUAAAGGUAUAACUUUUGAACAAUUUGUAUAAAAUACUUAAAUUAUUAAUUAAAAUAUAACAUUAUAGGCUCAACUUAAAUAUAAAUUUUAUUUAACUUAAACAACCCAAAGAUUAUUUUAUAAAUAAUUAAAAGUGAUAAAUUGUAGUGUCUUUCUAAUAAUGAUUGUAAGUUGGUUAAUAAAGUUAAAUAAAUAUCAAACCUAAAGUGCAAUCAUAAAUAGACUAAAUUUCAAUUUUAAAAUAAUAUCUUUACUUCUAUUUAUAAAGUUAUGUCUUUAAAUUUUAACAUAUUAUACUUAAUUUAUUAGAUUUAAAAUGUUGUUGCAUGUAAACCAUUAUCAGUUUAAAGCUACAACUUUUGAACAGUUUGGACAAAAUACUUAAAUUGUUAAUUUAAAUAUAACAUUACAGUGUCAACUUAAAUAUAAAUUUCAGUUCCACUAAAAAAACCAAAUAAUAUUUUGUAAAUAGUUAAAAGUGAUAAAUUAUAGUGAUAAAUGCAAAAACUAAAUUGUAAUAUCAGUUUAACUAAAAUAUUUCCUAAAUAUAUUUAUAUAAUCGUUAAAAAUUUUCAAAUAAGUAGCUUAAAAUAACUUAUAAUAACAAUAGUUAAAAAUAACUCUAUAUAAAUGAUUAUAUUGUUACCUUUAAAAUCAAAAAAUAAUGUUUGAUGUUUUAAAUAAUUAUAAUGAUAGAAAUUAAAACAUUAAGCAAAUAAAUUUUAAAAAAUUAGUUAAAAAUAACAACUAUAAAUAAUAUUAAACCAUAUAUAAUAUUUAAUUUUAUUGAUGUGUAACUCGCGAGUAGAAGUCAUUCAAACGAUUGAGAUUAUGACGUUAUAAUAGAUUUAUAUAUUAUCAUAUAAUUCAAAAUAGUCAAUAUAUUAUAUCAAAUUAAUAUACGAAUUAUUAUAUCAAAUUUAACAACAACGUUAGUGUUAUAUUUUAAAAAAUAUAUAUUUGUAAAGACUUCAACUAUAUAGGUGUUUCUGUGCAUUACAAUGUCAACUCAAAUAUAAAUUUCAGUUCCAUUUAAAAAACUAAAGAAUAUUCUGUAAAAAGUUAAAAGUGAUAAAUUGUAGUAAUAAAAGCAAAACUAAAUUGUAAUCUCAAUUUAACUAAAAUAUUUCUUAAAUAUAUUUUUAUAAUCAUUAAAAGUUUCCAAAUAAGUAGCUUAAAAUAACUUACAAUAACAAUAGUUAAAAACAACUCUAUAUAAAUGAUUAUAUUGUUAGCUUUAAAAUAAAAAAACAAUGUUUGAUGUUUUAAAUAAUUAUAAUGACAAAUUAAAAUAUUAAGCAAAUAGAUUUUAAAAAAUUAAUUAACAAAAAAACAACUAUAAAUAACAUCAAAUCAUAUAUUAUAUUUAAUUUUAUUCAUGUGUAACUCGCGAGUAGAAGUCAUUCAAACGAUUGAGAUUAUGAAGUUAUAAUAAAUGUAUAUAUUAUCAUAUAAUUCAAAAUAAUCAAUAUAUUAUAUCAAUUUAGUAUAUACAAAUUAUUAUAUCAAAUUUAACAACAACGUUAUUGUUAUAUUUAAAAAACCAUAUGUUUGUAAAAACUUCAACUAUAUAGGUGUUUCUGCGCAACGCGCGGGCAUUCGCCUAAUUUCCUAUAUAAGGGAAGAAAUGGCUUCAUGUUUGUGUAUUGUGGCGAUGUGCAUAGGGGGCGCAGAGGGAGAGGCAAAGUGGGUAGCUGUAUAGAGCCCAAUUUUUUUUAGGACCAACUUUUUUUAUUAUGUUAUAUAUUUAUAUAUAUUUAUUUAAAAGUAAGAAAUUUAUAAUAGCUAUAAAGGCCAUUAUGCAAGUGAUGUCCAGCCUAGCUGGGUUGAUGCACCGAGUUUUAUACCCAUGUGGGGCGUGAGGUCGGGAGUUCUAUUCCCUUAAACUACCUCUUGUGGUGCCACAUAUGGGGAAUUUUUCCCUGGAAAUUCCUAUGGGGGAUGGGUUUGCCCUGUAAAGGAGCUCGAACCUGGGGUGCUCGUUGAAAUAUUGCGAGUAGGCUCCACUUAAUUCGUUUGUCGUUUCCAAAAAAAAUAAAGGCCAUUAUUUUCUGGCUUGUCUAGGGCAUUUGAGGAUAUUUAUAUCCUUAAGCCCGACCCUGCCAAUGUGGGAUGCGAAUUAACCUUCUGAAUAAAACCCAACAUAAAAGAGAAGGGUUGGGGAUGAGAUUCAAACUCGAGACCUGCUGUACUAAACAAGCUUAUAUGUCGAAACACUUAACCACUGAACCAACGAUUUGUACAUGUUUUUAAAUCAUGGAAAAAAACAUAUAUAGAUAUGAGGCUGGUAAAAUAAAGUAAGCAUGGGACGUUGCAAAUAAGAAUCGAAGUAAUGACCUCUAGUGUAAUAACACGACGCUUUAACCAUCAGAACAAGCUUCUAUUUGUCUUUCUAACUCAUGCAAAUCGUAUAUAUACUUAGAUAAUUCACAAAAUACAUAUAUUUCUUAAUAUUCCGUUUGUAACACCGUAAAUUUUCAAACAAAAUUUUCAUUUUCAAAACCACAUAAUUCUCAAUAUCACAUCCCAAAAAGCACAAUUGUCAAAUUGUCAAAAACACAAAUUCAUAAAUUGUUUGAUAAAAUUCAGGAUCCUCAAAAACAUAAACUCUAUCUCGUGUGUACAAUCAAGUCGGUGCCUUCCCUUGAUCCUGAAAAGUACCUGAAACACAUAACACGGUAAGCACGAACGUUAGUGAGUUCCUCAAAAUACCACACAUAACUCAUUAGCCUCUCAUGACUAUAUCUCAUAUAAGACCCUCUAGUCGAUGUGUCUUAAUGGAAACCUCCGGUCCCACAACUCGGGUGAACUCUCCGGUCCUAACUCAAUAAAGCUCAACAUGAUACACAACAUAAAUCACAAGGACAUAAUGCAGGAUAUCACAAUACUCAAUAUAAAGCACACAAGACCCUCCGGUCACACAAAAUUACCACUCAAGGUAAGUAUAGUGAGAAGACUCACCUCGUAAGCAAGCAAAUAAACCUCGUACACGAAUCACCGAUCUAGCCUCCGCCUAACACAUACGAUAACUAUCUCUAAUUAACACUUAAAUCACAACUCCAAAUAAAACAAGUUAUUUUCUCUCUCUAAUCUCUUGGAAUAAGUAAAAGACCAUUCUACUCCUCCAUGGUCUCCAUAAUCCCUGUCUUGACCAAACCCAAAAGUCAACUGAAGCCAACACUCGAGUCAACAGUCCAUGUUGACCCGACUCGUCGAGUGGAUCUAUGUGACUCGUCGAGUCCUCUCGUUUCUUCAGAAAUGUCGCGAAAAUCCAACUUAACUCGUCGAGUUGUCUCAUCAACUCGUCGGGUUACUCAUGUCCAAACUCGUAGGGGAAAAACCUAGCAGACUCGUCGAGUUGGCUCAUCAACUCGCCGAGUCCCUUAAGUCUCUUUUUCAUUCAGAUGUUUUAAAGGAGAGCUACAACCCCAAACUCUAGAUCUAGCCUCUCAAGGCUGAGAUACCACGUAAACCUGCAAGCUUUAGGUCCAUGCAUGGCACUUAGGGCUUGAAAUGCCAAAAACAAGUUCCAUUUAGAGUCCUAAUGUAACGCCCGCAGAUCCGGGCUAGUCAAUUUAGAGACAAUAAGCAUCACAAAUGAGUUUUGGAUGGAAGAUUAUUUAGAAGGAUUAAUACUAAUCAAGUUGUAGUAUAUGUUACAAGGGUUCAGUACAUAUAAAGAACGCCGAAAUCCGAGUUAUAACGAAGAAAUUAUAAUCCGUCGAAGUUUUUCGGCAAAACCGACACGGCACCAGGAGACGUAAAUAGUGAAUUUACGAUAGAGGACUUUUAGCCUUAGUAAUCUAAACAAAAGUCGUAGAAUAUGUUAAAAUGAGAGCGCCCAUAAAAAGAACGCCCAAAUCUGACUUCGUAUGAGGAAGUUAUGAAUUUUCUAACAUUUGGCAUAACAGUGCACGACCAGAAACUCGAAUUUUAGUUCGAGCGGUUUUUGGCCUACGCGACCUAAAUGAGAGUUGAAGAUCUCAUUGAUAGGAACUCAAUGGUAAAAAGACAGACGAAAACGGAGUCCGUAUAUUGAAGUUAUGAGUUUUACGCGGACAUUUAACAAUAUAAUCUCCUCAUACUGUUAAAUUUAAGAUCGGUCGAGAAUUAGCCCACGGAGUCUAAAUGAAAGUUUUAGAUCUUAUUUUUACCUACACACGGAUAUAAAUAAUGUCGAGAGUAGAGCUAGUAAGUCAAAGAUAUGGACGAAACUUGGUCCCUACUCUUCGAGCGCGAUAAAUUCGAUACAGUACAAAACUGAGGUGGAAUGAGAAUUAGUUGACGAUGUCUAAAUGAAAGUUGUUGUAAUCGUAAAUACCAAUGCAUGUAUAUAAAGAACAUCAAAAAUGGAGUUCGUAUGAACGAAUUACAAAUUAUAAUAACAUAUUUAUGUAUUAAAAUAAAGUAUAAAUCAUAUAUACAUACACACACACACACACACACAUAUAUAUAUAUACACACACACAAAUGUAUAUAUCAUUAGAAAGGUAUCGACGAUGCGGUUAUUAUAAGACUAGUGUUGAGUACUUUCGACAUUAGUUUAGUACAAAUAUCGUUAAAUCUAUUUAAAAUAGUAUUAUGAAGAGGUGUUUAGUCGUUUAUACAGCUAUAUGGUCAUUAAGUAAUUAUGGAGGGCAGUUUUUGUAAAUUCAAUUACUAUAAAUAAGAGGCUUGGGCUCUUAUAUUUCUUGCACCAUUCUCUUGAUUCAAGAGUCUUUCUCUUCUUAUCUCCCGAGCAUUUCGGUCCCUCGUGAUCCGACUUCGCUUUGUGUAGUUUUAAUAUAGUAAUGUGAGCGUUGAAACGCUGCACGAAUCUUUCUUAGAAAGAUUCAGCGAUGAAGUUCUACCCCUGCAGAGCCCGACUCCUAGCUAAAACUCCGUUGUAAGUAAGUUAUGCUUACUCUAUUUUAAUAUAGCUUAUAUUUAAAAUUAGUAUUGUUAUUAUAAACUUAUAAUAAAUAUUUUAGCUAUUAUUAUAUAAGUGUCGUUAUAAUAUCUUUUUAACUAUUCGCGGUACGGGAAAUCUGGUUUAAAGUGCCGCAUAGGGUUGUUGGAUUUCAGAAGUGCUAUAUGCCAAAAUGGUCCUGCCCUCCGGUGUUUUAUGUCUGGCCCCUGUCUGUACAUAGUGGUUGGAAAGUAUUGUUUAAACGCUUAUAUAAUAAUAAUAAUAAUAAUAAUAAUAAUAAUAAUAAUAAUAAUAAUAAUAAUAAUAAUAAUAAUAAUAAUAAUAAUAAUUAGUCACUGUAAAUAUUAGACUAAAAUCUAGUGGUAAUAAUACUAGGUUUCAUCGAAGGAAAUUAUUUUAAAGUAAACGAAGCAUUGUCCGAGUACCGAAUCACCACCUUAUCAAAUGAGUGAAUGGUCUCUUUCAUCUUACACAUAGAUAUGAAGUAUUUUAUAUAAAAUACGUGCUAUGUGUGCAUAUUAUCUGAAUACUUGCGAUCUAUGAUGGAUGAAUGAUUUUAUACAUGUUUUAAAUUAUUUAAAUAUAUAUUUAUUUUAUAUCUACAAAUAUAUUGGGAUAAAACAUGGGUAGAUGAAAUAGUUGGUGUGUGAUGAAAUAAAAUGAUGACAGAUAGGUGAUGAUAGGAAGGUGAUGAUGAAUCAGUGAUGUAGGAUGAAAGAUACUAUAACCUUGUCCGACAAUUUGGAGAUGUAGUCAUCUACCAGAGUAUAGAUGGCGACCACAAACUAUUAUAGACAACCCUGUGGAAACACCAGCAGGCUCACAACCCUUACUAUGAAUUACGAGUUCAAGCGAUGUUGUAACUACAUAUUCAUGUGAUGAUACUGUAACCCUUACUAUGAAUUACGAGUUCAGGCGAUGUUGUAACUACGUAUUCAUGUGAUGAUACUCCAACCCUUACUAGGUGCGUAUCGAGGGAGUAAUCUCCGAACCAUUAUUGUCUGUGUGAUGUAGGCGAUGAUCUGUAGGAAAAGUCCUUAGGAACGGACAUAUAAGGAAAUGAGAUGCAAAGAGAUGAGAGGUAAAUACGAUAUAGGAGAUGGACCUUAAGGUAAUACUUUAGGGAAUAUCAAAUGAAGAAAAUGAGGAUGGGUAGUCGAGUUAAUUGUUUGAUAUGUAUUAUGUGAAGAAACAAGUUAAUUAUAUUAUUGUGGGUUGAAAACCCUAUGUACUCACCAGGUUUCUUAACCUGACCCACUCAGUUUAUUUGUAUCACAGGUGUCGAUAUGAAGUUACACUACACUAAGAGAUUAAGGAGAUGUAAAUCACUAAUGAUAAUGAAUGUAAGUUCUGUUUAUGCUUAUGUUUCUGUAUUGACUAUGACAUCCUAAUGUUUUAAAAUAAAUAAAAAAAUACAUUUCUUCGGAAAUGCUUUGAUAACGUAUUUAUCAUGUUUUUCUGGGAACAAAUUCCGCAACAUUUUUAUAAAAAGGGUACUCUGAUUUUUAUAAAGCAUAAACAUAAUCGGUCUUUUCUGGCCGUGAAAAUGGGGAUGUCACAGUUGGUAUCAGAGCAUUAGUUUAAGCAAACUAGGAAUAUGGAUUUUUUUCUAGACUUAAACUUAGAAUGUUAAGCAAUGAUUGUGAGGAGUGUGUCUAAUAAAAUUUUGGUAAUACUCCUGAAUAGACACAAGCACUAGCUUAUUUAGGGAAAGUACCUUACAUGCUUUUAUGUGCUAAAUGCUUUAUGAUAUGCAUUAUAUGAUCGGAUCUAUGGACUGUUUCCGACCGGAUCUGGAAACUUUAUGUGUUCAGGUUUCUAAACGUUUAAUUACGGUAUUAGAAUUGACAUAUAACUUUUCAGAGUGAUAGGGAGAUUUACACGUCGACCGCAAAUAAAAUCUUUCCUAUCUUAAUUCUCUUCAUUACACACCGAACGUAUGAAUUGGUGUAUAGAUCGAAAUGGCAAUAUCCCGAAGUGGAGUCGGGAACGCAAACGAAAACAGGAAUCAACCUCCAGUGAUUGAGCAAAUACCUUUUGUAGUAGCCACUCCUGAGCCUAUCACGAUGGACGAAGUACAGGCGAUGAUCCAAAAGAUGUUGGAUCGUUAAAUGGAGGAAACCAGACGUUUGCUUCAACAGAAUCGAGAGGAAGUUACAAUACCAAUCGAACAACCUGAACUGAAUGAUGGGCAGUCGGAAGGAGGGAACUACAGUGGGGCCGUUGUUUAAGCUGAUCCGCCAGUAAUUAGGAGGAACAAUCAAGAUGACGGAGUCGAGGGGAACGGAUGCAAGUACAAAGAUUUUAUUACUUGCAAGCCAUCAACCUUCACCGGGAAGGAAGAUCUGAUCGGAGUUACGGAUUGGAUCUCAGAGAUGGAGUUGGCUUUUAUGACAUGUGGUUGUAGAGGCAAACUACAGACCACAUUUGCAGUGUGCCAGUUUAGAGGAGGCGCGGUUCGUUGGUGGAACACUCUGAGGAAGACUUUAAGCCCCAAUGAGCCCCUACAACUAACGUGGGAAGAGUUUUCGGUGCAGUUCAAACGCAAGUACUGCUCGGCCCAAAACCUGCUAGAGCUAGAAAACCAAUUCCUAACUCUGAAGAAAGGAAGCAUGUCCAUCGAUGAAUACACCAACAACUUCAUAGAGAAAAUGGAGUUUGCCUUGCGUCUUGUCCCAGACGAGCUGACAAAAAUCGAUAAGUACGCAAAGGGACUUCCUUGGGAGUAUGUGGUGCCAGUACAUCAGGCACAUACUCUAGAGGCAGCUAUUUGGGCUGCCAAGUCUGUUGAGGAUAUGAUCAAGGGAAGAGCCGCCAGCAAGGUUGAAGUUGGAGAGAAGAGGAAGUUUGAAGGAUCUUCAAGGUCCAACAAGGAGAGAAAAUCUAUGAAGUUUGGAGGAGAAAGAGGAAGUGAGGCAAGAUGGUGCGAGAAGUGCAAGAAGAAGCACUUCGGAAGAUGCGAUGGAGAAGUGACGUGCUGUAAGUGUGGUAGGACCGGUCACUAUUCCAUAGAUUGUACAUUCGACAACAAGAAGUGCUAUGAAUGUGGAAAUGAUGGGCAUAUUUCGAAGAACUGUCCAAAAAAAAACGAAGUAGCAAGACCAAAUGCACCGCCAAAGCCAAGGGCAUUCCACAUGAUCCUCGAUGAAGCAUAUAUCAACGCAGGGAAUGAAGGAUGAGGACUUCAUAUCCAAAGAUCAAGAUAUGAAGUAGCCAUGUGGAUAGUAUUAGGAAGUGUAGCCUAUUAUAGGCAUAGUAUAGGGUAAACUUGAACACCUAUGUGAUAGUUUCAAGAAAUAAUUUAAACCCUCGUUUUGUUAUUUGAUGUUUCAAGUUGUUAUAUGAUUUUCUUGUAUGGUUAAUUGGGAAACUACGAGACAAUACUUGGGACGCGUAUGAGUAGGUGUGAAUGGUAGUAGAGGCCUAUACUACCGAAAGCACAGGACUCACGCUUGGAUUAGGGAAAGUCACAAGGAUACCAAGAAGCUAGUAAUUGAUACUGUUUUAUUCAAAUAUGUCGUUACCAUUAUUUCGGUAAUAACUAAGAAGAUGAUUGUUAUUCCAACCCGAGUGGUCAUAUCGAAUUGAGUACGACUACGAUGAGUAUGUUACGUGGUUCAUAGAACCAAGUUUGAUGUAGCAUCUGACUUAAGCUGGAAGAUUGAAAUAAAAGAUAAUCAAAUAGAUAGGUAGAGGUAUCGCGAUAGUUGCUUGUAGCUAGAAAUGCUACCUUUAAGAUGAGAUUAGAACAUGAAGGAAAGUAUAGUUUGUUCUGGAAGACUCUAAGAGACUUGAGUCUAAGCAUUGCAACAUACGAUGAUAGGUCAUUAGAAUAUGACACAUCGUUCCAUUGUAGUAAUAAAAGAACUUAUCUUAAGUUCGUAUCCAGUGUAGAUUGAGAUUGUAAUUUGAAGGUCAUAAUUUAGAGUCUAACGUGAGAUAGGGAGCAAGUGCAAGAUUGAGCACCACCUGCAGUCAAGGAGUCCAAGAGUUAGAUACUCAUUCGAAGAAACAAGGAAGUUACCAUUAUUACCUAGGAUGAAGAGAUAACAUAUGGAAUCAUUAUAUUUCCCUGUUUCAUUGAUGAUUCCGGGACGUAAUCAUCCUAAGGGGGAGAUAAUUGUAACGCCCGCAAAUCCGGGCUAGUCAAUUUAGAGACAAUAAGCAUCAAAAAUGAGUUUUUGAUGGAAGAUUAUUUAGAAGGAUUAAUCCUAAUCAAGUUGUAGUAUAUGUUACAAGGGUUCAGUACAUAUAAAGAACGCCGAAAUCCGAGUUAUAACGAAGAAGUUAUGACCCGUCGAAGUUUUUCGGCAAAACCAGCAUGACACUGGGAGACGUAAAUAGUGAAUUUACGAUAGAGGACAUUUUAGCCUUAGUAAUCUAAACAAAAGUCAUAGAAUAUGUUAAACUGAGAGGGUCCAUAAAAAGAACGCCCAAAUCUGACUUCGUUUGAGGAAGUUAUGAAUUUUCUAACAUUUGGCAUAGUAGUGCACGACCUGAAACUCAAAUUUUAGUUCAAGCGGUUUUUGGCCUACACGGCCUAAAUGAGAGUUGAAGAUCUCAUUAAUAGGAACUCAACGGUAAAAAGACAGACUAAAACGGAGUCCGUAUAUAGAAGUUAUGAAUUUUACGCGGACAUUUAACAAUAUAAUCUCCUCCUAAUGUUAAAUUUAAGAUCGGUUGAAAAUUAGCUGACGGAGUCUAAAUGAAAGUUUUAGAUCUUAUUUUUACCUACGCGCAGAUAUAAAGAAUGUCGAGAGUAGAGCUCGUAUGUCAAAGAUAUGGACGAAACUUGGUCCCUACUCUUCGAGCGCGAUAAAUUCGAUACAGUUUUGUAAAUCUGAGGUAGAAUGAGAAUUAGUUAACGGCGUCUAAAUGAAAGUUGUAGUAUUCGUAAAUACCAACGCGUGGAUAUAAACAACGUAAAAAAUGGAGUUCGUAUGGAUGAGUUACAAAUUAUAAUAGCAUAUUUAUGUAUUAAAAUAAAGUAUAAAUCUUAUAUACAUACACAUAUAUAUAUAUAUGCAUAUGUAUAUAUCAUUAGAAAGGUAUCGACGAUGAGGUCAUUAUAAGACUAAUGUUGAGUUCUUUCGACAUUAGUUUAGUNNNNNNNNNNNNNNNNNNNNNNNNNNNNNNNNNNNNNNNNNNNNNNNNNNNNNNNNNNNNNNNNNNNNNNNNNNNNNNNNNNNNNNNNNNNNNNNNNNNNNNNNNNNNNNNNNNNNNNNNNNNNNNNNNNNNNNNNNNNNNNNNNNNNNNNNNNNNNNNNNNNNNNNNNNNNNNNNNNNNNNNNNNNNNNNNNNNNNNNNNNNNNNNNNNNNNNNNNNNNNNNNNNNNNNNNNNNNNNNNNNNNNNNNNNNNNNNNNNNNNNNNNNNNNNNNNNNNNNNNNNNNNNNNNNNNNNNNNNNNNNNNNNNNNNNNNNNNNNNNNNNNNNNNNNNNNNNNNNNNNNNNNNNNNNNNNNNNNNNNNNNNNNNNNNNNNNNNNNNNNNNNNNNNNNNNNNNNNNNNNNNNNNNNNNNNNNNNNNNNNNNNNNNNNNNNNNNNNNNNNNNNNNNNNNNNNNNNNNNNNNNNNNNNNNNNNNNNNNNNNNNNNNNNNNNNNNNNNNNNNNNNNNNNNNNNNNNNNNNNNNNNNNNNNNNNNNNNNNNNNNNNNNNNNNNNNNNNNNNNNNNNNNNNNNNNNNNNNNAUAAUAAUAAUAAUAAUAAGAAUAAUAAUUAGUCACGGUAAAUAUUAGACUAAAAUCUAGUGGUAAUAAUACUAGGUUUCAUCGAAUGAAAUUAUUUUAAAGUAAACGAAGCGUUGUCCGAGUACCGAAUCACCACCUUAUCAAGUGAGAGCAUGGUCCCUUUCAUCUUACACAUAGACAUGAAGUAUUUUAUAUAAAUUACGUGCUAUGUGUGCAUAUUAUCUGAAUACUUGUUGUCUAUGAUGGAUGAAUGAUUUUAUACAUGUUUUAAAAUAUUUAAAUAUAUAUUUAUUUUAUACCUACAAAUAUGUUUGGGAUAAAACAUGGGUAGAUGAAAUAGUUGGUGUGUGAUGAAAUAAAAUGAUGAGAGAUAUGUGAUGAAAUUAGGNAAUAAAAUGAUGAGAGAUAUGUGAUGAUAAUUAGGUGAUGGAUAGGUGAUGAUGAAUCGGUGAUGUAGGAUGAAAGAUAAUAUAACCUUGUCCGACAAUUUGGAGAUGUAGUCAUCUACCAGAGUAUAGAUGACGAUCAUAGACUAUUAUAGACAACCCCGUGGAAACACCAGCAGGAUCACAACCUGUAGGUGACGAAUUACGAGUUCAGUGAUGUUGUAACUACGUAUUUGUAACGCCCGCGUUUCCACGCUAGGCAUUUUCGUUGAUGUAAUAGUCUAGGUUAACCUUUGUAACCCAUUUUGAAAUAAUAGAAGUGUAUUAUUUGAGUAUUAUGUGUUUUGUGCUUAAUUGCUUAAUUAUGUGGUUUGAUUAAUUAAGAAUAAAAAUAAGCGUCAAAAUUUAAGUGUAAAAUAAACUUGAUAUCUUUGGAUAAUGUUGUAGUAGUUGAAACGAGGUUUUCGAAUAUAUAAAGAGCGCUAGAAUCUGACUUCGUGUGAGGAAGUUAUGAUUUUUUGAAGUUUCGACUUAGCGGUAUGCAGCCAGAAAUACUUGAUUUUAGAUCGAGCGGUUUUUAGUCGAAUCGAUCUAAACGAGAAUCGAAGAUCUCGUUGUUGGUAUCGAAGCGAUGAAAAGUUAGGCGAGAACGGACGUCAAACGAAGAAGUUAUGAAUUUAUAACGAAGUUUUUCUGUCACGGCCUACUAAAAAUAAUUAAUAAAAAUAAAUUCAAAUAUAGCCGACAGAGUCUAAACGAAAGUUGUAGAGCAUAGUCUCACCUACGCGUGGAUAUAAAGAACGUCAAAAACAGAGUUCGUAUGAAGAAGAUAUGAAUUUCUGAAGUUUAUUAAAUAAUUUGUAUUUAAAUUUAAUCUUUAAUUCGAAUGUAUAUCGGAAGGACUCACCGAUCUGAUCCAAAGUACGCCCACCGUACUGGCAUACGCCCAGCGUACCGCGAAGCAUGACGCACCUCGCACUCGAGUUCUUCGGAUGACGCAUGCAGUGACGCAUUCGGAGGCCUACGCCCCGCGUAAGGCAGUACGCCCAGCGUACUCCAAGGCUCCAGCCUCCCGUUUUGCAUCGUUUUGCGUGCCAGAAGUACCCCGAAGCCCCGGUAUCAUUCCUGAGCCCCGAAGCAAGUCCCGAGGUCCUGAAGAUCCCGAGAAGUAAGAUUCCCGAGCCGAAGCUUUGCCCGCGAGAAGUUCGAUUUUUGUAGAGAUCUUCCAGAUCUGCUGAGGAUUACUACUUCUGUAAGCCGUAGUGCUGUCCGAUCAUCUUCUGAUCAAGUGAGUGUAUACUACCUUUCAUAAACACGAUAAUAAUACAAGUAUGGUUUGAGUGUAUUAAGUAUAUUGUUGUUUAUAUGUGUGAGUGUGUGGUUACUUUCUUCUAACGCAUAAUUAUGAAGUAUUUUAUACGAAAUACGUGUUAUGUGUAUAAUUUUGUGGUUAUGUGUGUGAAUGUGUAUUCACUUUCUUCUAUCUCAUAGAUAUGA